GCCAGCAGCCAUAUCACUCUGCAAUUCACAUCUGGCAACCCACUGAUGCUCAGCAGGUGUGAGCCUGGUCAGUACUUGGAUGGGAGACCUCCUGGGAAAAACUAAGGUUGCUGCUGGAA
rnacentral:rRNA from 1 species